GCAACGGGUCUUUAGCUCGCCAGGCAACAUGUUUGAUUGAACAUCAACGCAUGAAAACAUCCAAAUCAUCAUUGUGUAUAAAAACGAAGCAGAGUGAGUGAUAAAAAUACAAAAAGAGGAAGUGCAUGUGCAAUAUCACAAAAAGAGAGGUUUGGUGAGGGGUGUGAAAGAAACUGAACUUUGCCAAGUAAAAUUAAUCAUCUCCAAAGCAUUGACAUCAUUGUGGUUGUAAACAACAGCUAGGCUUAUGAGAAAGAGAGGAACCACCGUGAAAUGGAAAUUUAAUUCCAAAAUCUCA
rnacentral:lncRNA from 1 species